GGGGACGUAGUUUAGCCUGGUAGAAUUACGGGCUCCAGUCAUGGGCUUGACCGCGAACGGGUUUGCUGAUCCGGUGAUGACAGACUGGAGCGGAGACCCAUGGUUCGCGAGAACACGCGUGGGUCGCUCCCCGCGUGGAAGAAACCCGUCGAUCAGGGUUCAAAUCCCUGCGUCCCCA
rfam:Euryarchaeota archaeon RBG_16_68_13 RBG_16_scaffold_3679, whole genome shotgun sequence.